rnacentral:rRNA from 1 species
AUGUCCGACCGCCGCCGCGACAAGGAGAGGCCCCGCGAGCGCGGCGGCUACGACCAGCCGCGGGAGCGCGACCACGACGCCGACCGCCACCGCGACCGGGACCGGGACNNNNNNNNNNNCCGGGACUACCGCCGCGCCCGCAAGCGCUCCCGCUCCCCCUCCCCCUCGGCCGACAGGGACCGCUCCCGCCGCCGCCGCUCCCACUCCCACUCCCACCCCCACCGGUCCCGCUCCCCCGACGCCGGCCGCCACAAGCGCCGCCGCGAGGUGUCGCCCGUCGCCGACCCGAAGGAGGACAGGAAGCCGGACCCCCCCUCCGCCCCCAAGGCCGCCGAGGAGCCGGCCCCGGUUGGUGACGGGGACGUGGACGCCGAGGAGCUGGAGAUGAUGAAGAUGAUGGGGAUCCCCGUCGGGUUCGACUCCACCAAGGGUAAGUACGUCCCCGGCGCCGACGUCAGCGGCGUGCGCGCCGUCACCAAGCGCCAGCCGCGGCAGUACAUGAACCGCAGGGGCGGGUUCAACCGUCCCCUGCCGCCCGAGGUCAACCGCUGAGGAGGAUCAUGUAUCAAUGCAGUAUACCUCGUUGCCGGAUUGCAAACUUGCAGUGGACUAUUUGACUUCUUCGCCGGCCAUAGCAAGGGUUGAGCUUCUACUGUCUACCAAGCAUGUAUAACCUUGAUGGCUAGUUACUUUGCCAAACUUUGAAGACUAAAGACAUGUAGUUCUCGUUUUCAUCAUUUGCUCUGUCGACAAUCCAGGAAAAGAUAUUGGUGGCGUGUUUUUGGAAAUGUGGUUUAGAAAUUUACAUGAUGUUUCUGCACAUAAUUUGGUGAGCAUCAAGAGCAAUGUUUGUGUAUCUCAACCGUUUCUUAAUUGCCUGUGCUUAACAUUUCUGUUUCUAUCUUAGUAUGUUUUUCAGGCAUGCACCACAUGGAAUGGAACUUCUUGUGAUGAUUGCAUAUGUGGCUGCAGCAUUAUUACAGUUAUGAAGAUCAUAAUAUGCUGUUCUAUGUAUCUGUGGUAUCAUUGUUUUCACCGGACAACUGUGUCAUUUUACCUGUUUCUUUGUGCUAAAUUGGAUUGAUCUAUGUCGGU